UGCAGAGAGCUGAAACCCAAGGCAGAAAGGCACCAUUUCAGGAUUUCGCUCUGAAAUAUUCCCCCGAUGCUCUGCCUUUGGUCCAACAAGGUGGGAGGUGAGGGACAACCUCCAUCCACGUUCCCUGCUUGGAGUGACCUCAGCCACACUGCUGCCCCAAGGCAAUUAGCCCAUGCUCAUUACUGGACGUAUGGGGAUACAUCCA
rnacentral:lncRNA from 1 species